AGGGCUCUGGCUCAGUGAGAGAGCAUCUGCUUUGCAUGCAGAAGGUUCUGGGUCCAAUCCCUGGUAUCUCUG